rnacentral:tRNA from 1 species
GGUUUCAUAGCUUAGUGUUAGAGCAAUUGACUGCAGAUAAAUAGGUCAUUGGUUUGACCCCGAUUGGGCCCU